GGGUGACUAUCGCGUGCCUUAGUACCUUUUGGUUCUUCUCCACCCAGGGAAACUUGGGCUAAUUUCGGAUAAUCCCUUACGGGGAAAGAUUUAUCACCAAAUCAUCCUCCCGCAUCUGAUUAGCUACUUGUUAGGGUAAUGGCCUUCCAUGGAGACUAUCAGUACCUGGUCUGAUAGGAUGAUCACCCACCUUGGGACUGACACAUCGCUCAAUCUCCUACAGGAGGCAGCAGCGGGCAAUAUUGUACACUGGGUGUCAGCCUGAUCCAUCCAUGACGUGUGAGUGAUGAACGUUCUAAGGUUGUUCCGCUCUUUUGUGCCGCAAGAUAAUGACGGUACCGCAGUCCUAAGCCCCGGCUAACUUCGUGCCAGCAGCCGCGUUUAUACGAAGGGGGCUAGCGUUGCUCGGAAUCACUGGGCGUAAACGGUGCGUACGCAGGUCUUUAAGUCAGGGGAGAAAUCCUGAAUCUCAACUCCAGAACUGCCUUUGAUACUGAAUAUCUUGACUCCGGGAUAGGUGAGUGGAACUGCAAGUGUAGAGGUGAAAUUCCUAGAUAUUCGCAAGAACACCUGUGGCGAAUGCAGCUCACUGGCCCCGUACUGAUCCUGAUGCACGUCAGCGUGGGGAGUUCACAGGAUUAGAUACCCUGGUUCUCCACGCCCCAAUCCAUGAAUGCCAGCCGUUAGUGGGUUUACUCACUAGUGGCGCAGCUAACGCUUUAAGCAUUCCGCCUGGGGAGUACGGUCGCAAGAUUAAAACUCAAAGGAAUUGACGGGGGCCCGCACACGCGGUGGAGCAUGUGGUUUAAUUCGACGCAACGGCGCAGAACCUUACCAGCCCUUGACAUGUCCAGGACCGGUCGCAGAGAUGUGACCCUCUCUUCGGAUCCUGGAGCACAGGUGCUGCAUGGCUGUCGUCAGCUCGUGUCGUGAGAUGUUGGGUUAAGUCCAACAACGAGCGCAGCCCACGUCCUUAGUUGCUACCAUUUAGUUGUGCACUCUAAGGAGACUGC
rnacentral:rRNA from 1 species